rnacentral:rRNA from 1 species
GGAGGAUCCAAGCGUUAUCCGGAAUCAUUGGGUUUAAAGGGUCCGUAGGCGGUUUAGUAAGUCAGUGGUGAAAGCCCAUCGCUCAACGGUGGAACGGCCAUUGAUACUGCUAGACUUGAAUUAUUAGGAAGUAACUAGAAUAUGUAGUGUAGCGGUGAAAUGCUUAGAGAUUACAUGGAAUACCAAUUGCGAAGGCAGGUUACUACUAAUGGAUUGACGCUGAUGGACGAAAGCGUGGGUAGCGAACAGGAUUAGAUACCCUGGUAGUCCACGCCGUAAACGAUGGAUACUAGCUGUUGGGGGCAACUUCAGCGGCUAAGCGAAAGUGAUAAGUAUCCCACCUGGGGAGUACGUUCGCAAGAAUG